CAUACAUCAUAACUGGUCUUACUGAGUUACUGGUCUUAUAGAACUUACCUUUCAGCCUCAUUGAAAUUCUUUUAUCGCAUAACACACUUGACGCUUCUCGCCAUUCCAGUCGCUCGCACUUAAUCUUGAGUCUUAAAUCGUCGUCAAUAUCACCAUUCUUUUGCAAAGCUGAUUUUAAAUACUUUUCACUUCUCCUUUAACGUCCUCGCUUAUUGUUACUGAUCUCACUCUCCUCGUGUACUCCUUUGUCAAACUCGUACUCUAUAUACUCUGUUUUACUCUUACUUAUUCUUAAUACCAUUCUUUCAAGAAUCAAUCUCCACUCAUAUAGCCUUUGAUUAUUAUUAUAUCGUCAGCAAACAACAUGCACUACGGUAUCUGUCCUUGUGCUCCGCUAGUAAUUUCACUAUAGAAAAUAAAGUAAAUUGAUACAUUGGCGUGAUAAAUAUUGAUUUGUUUAAAAUCUACACAAUAUUUGUUAUAUGAUGUAACAUGGAUACUAAUAGGCUGGGUUAAUUUAUGGUUUAUUGUUACAUGAAACAUACAAGAAUAAAGCAUAAUUCUAUCUAGCACAAUCAUGUUAUUGCCUGAUUUUAUAUUGAUAAUGUUAUCUUACUUGGCGGUAAAUAUAAGAGAUUAUAUAAAUGAAAUAAUUGUAAUACAUUAAUUAUUUGAUAAUAGAAGAAAACAUUUUGUAUUUAAUCAGUGAACAGUUUUUUUUAUAUUUACUAUUAUAAAUGUUAAUUUAAGUAUUUAUAUAUGUCAAUUGCAUAGUAAUUUUUUUAUAAAGACCUAAGAAGAAUUUUAUUAACAUAAUUUUAAGCAGUCCAUUUAAGGCAUCGAGUUGAUUGAUGAGUAUCCAGACAUGACAAACAGCAGUAUCGUGCACCACAUGUUGUGCACGUAUAUGUGCUUGGAAAUCCACACACUGCACAAAAUAUACGUCGGGGUAAACCUGAAGGGGGUGCUUCAAUAGAAACAUAAUUUGGUGGAUCAGGAUUAUUAAAUUGAUCAUCUUCAACCAGUUGUACAAACGUUCUUCGGAAUCUAAGCAAUUAUAAAUUACAUAAUGUUCAUCAUCAAUGUUUAUUUUCAUUAGUAUAUAAAAUAGCUAUCUAAAAUGGAUCUAUAUCUAUUAAUGUACUUCAAUUUUGUAUAGAUUAAAAUAUAUCAUCAAAUGUAUGUUAUUGCAAAUAAAUGAUACAACUAUUAUUAAAAUGUAUAACUUAAUACUUUUAAUUAAUUGUUGAGUUUAUAGAUCUUACUUUUUGCUCAUUAAAUUUUUUUUGUAAAAAUUUUAUGAAAA